rnacentral:rRNA from 1 species
GACGAACGCUGGCGGCGUGCCUAAUACAUGCAAGUAGAACGCUGAAGGAGGAGCUUGCUCUUCUGGAUGAGUUGCGCACGGGUGAGUAACGCGUAGGUAACCUCCCUGGUAGCGGGGGAUAACUCUUGGAAACGAUAGCUAAUACAGCAUAAGAGUUGAUGUUCCAUGACAUUUACUUAAAAGGUGCAAUCGCAUCACUACCAAAUGGUCGUGCGUUGUAUUAUCUAGUUGGUGGUGUAACGGCUUACCAAGGCGACGAUACAUCGCCGACCUGAGAGGGGGAUCGGCCACACUGGGACUGAGACACGGCCCAGACUCCUACGGGAGGCAGCAGUAGGGAAUCUUCGGCAAUGGACGGAAGGCCGACCGAGCAACGCCGCGUGAGUGAAGAAGGUUCUCGGAUCGUAAAGCUCUGUUGUAAGAGAAGAACGAGUGUGAGAGUGGAAAGUUCACACUGUGACGGUAUCUUACCAGAAAGCGACGGCUAACUACGUG